GACUCCCUGACGGCCCACAACAGCUCCCUGUUCUCCACCAAAGACCAGGACAACGACGGGCACACAGGGAGCUGCGCCCAGGUCUACCAGGGCGCCUGGUGGUACUACAACUGCCACGUGUCAGCUUGUCCGGGCGCUACCUCGGGGGCCCCCACGAGAGCUACGCGAAGGGCAUCAACUGGAAGUCGGGGAAGGGCCACAACUACAGCUACAAGGUGGCCGAGAUGAAGGUGCGGCCCACAUAGGGUGGUCGGCGGCCUGGAGCAUCUCCGAGCAGGUCCUGUCCCCCCAGCACGGGCACAGGAGGCUCUCCCACAAAGGCGGAGCUCAACCUGGCCCCACCCCUGGCCCAUCACGGACCCUCAGCUUUGAGACCCCGACUGACUCCCACCUUCCUCUCCCGCCUGCCAGGGUGAGGGUGACCCUGACCUUGCACACUGCACGCAUCCUCAAUAAAGCUUCGCCUCUCUCCACAGGCACA